UACGUAGGGUCCGAGCGUUGUCCGGAAUUACUGGGCGUAAAGAGCUCGUAGGUGGUUUGUCGCGUUGUUCGUGAAAACUCACAGCUCAACUGUGGGCGUGCGGGCGAUACGGGCAGACUUGAGUACUGCAGGGGAGACUGGAAUUCCUGGUGUAGCGGUGGAAUGCGCAGAUAUCAGGAGGAACACCGGUGGCGAAGGCGGGUCUCUGGGCAGUAACUGACGCUGAGGAGCGAAAGCGUGGGGAACGAACAGG
rnacentral:rRNA from 1 species